rnacentral:lncRNA from 1 species
UUUUAAGUGGCACGCCAUCAUUUAUUUACAGAGAAAGGUAUCACUUUAACAAAAUCAGGAGUCCUUCGGGGGCAGAUUAUUCUGUAAUACCACUUUCAUUAUCAGAGAACUCUCGAUACAAAGUGUUCUACAAAACUACAAGAAGAAUCAGGCUAGCCUUUUAAGGACAUCAUCAAAAAUCAGGCCUACCCAAUAAAGGCAGAGGCAGAGCUCUAUAAAAUUUGGUGAAUCCAGGACCACUUAAACAAGUCAGACAUAUAGAUGAUGGAAGACAUGGGACGUGAAUUUCUUUUGCUGGCUUUCUCAUUCCUCCUAUUCUAUCACUUAAAGCAUUUACCUGCCAGCCCCCAACAUCCCAGAUCUCUCCCCACUACCCUUGGAGAGCUCAUUUCUUCUCCUGGCUCCAAAUCUUGCCCCUGUAGACACCUAUCCCUUAUCUCUGUCUGCCACUUAGAUAUAGCACCAUCACCUUCAACUUAGUAGGUUGAGAAUUGAAGCUCUCUCCCAGGAGAGCACCAGUUCCACGUCACCAACUGGGUGUUAGUGAUGCUGCUAAGUUUUCUAGUCACUCAGGUUUGUGACCUUGGACUUGCUGCCUCCUUUUUGGUCCCUCUGACAUGUCUCCUCUUUCCUCCUUCCCUGCCCACUCCUCCAUCCCAUUCUUUACAUCACUCCUAGGCAAACCUUUCUUUGACCUGACACUGCUUUCACUACAUUCUUUCUUUCCCUGCUCAAACUUUCCCAUACCCAACUGGCUCCUCCAUGUAGUUGUCAAGGCCACCAUGAUCUUAUCUCAUCCUACCAGUUCAAAUGGGCUUUUCCACUACUGCUCAAAAUAGUAAUAAAACCACCAGCCACACAUUACAAAUGAGCUUUGCACUCAUCUCAAUUAAUCCUCACAAAGCUAACUGGAAGCCAAAAAGGCAAACAUUGUCCAUAUUUUACAGGCUGAAAUACUGUGACAGGCACAGGGUCACAUAGUAAAAACUGCCUGGAGUAUCCAGAUCUAGAACCCAAAUCUUCAUUACUUGUCUGGGGCAAACUUCACUGUAACCUGGAUAUAUGCCUUCCUCGCCUUGGAUUCAGCAAAUCCGUAGGAGGGUCUGCUCCUGAAAGGCUGUUUAAUGUUUCAAUGGGUUAAAAGAAUAAGAAUUUCUGCCCUCCUUUAUACUUUUUUUUUUUUUUUUUUUGAGACAGUGUCUCUCUUCUGUCGCCCAGGCUGGGGUGCUGUAGCAUGAUCUCAGCUCACUGUAACCUCCACCUCCUGGGUUCAAGCGAUUCUCCUGCCUCAGCCUGCCGAGUAGUUGGGAUUACAGGAGGCUGCCACCACAUCCAGCUAACUUUUGUAUUUUUAGUAGAGAUGGGGUUUCAUCAUGUUGCCCAGGCUGGUCUCAAACUCCUGACUUCAAGUGAUCUACCCAUCUUGACUUCCCAAAGUGCUGGGAUUACAUGAGCCACCACGCCCACCCUAUACUCUUAAUAGGUAAAUAAUCAUUACUACUUGAAUGAAGGCCACAGUAAAUGAGGCAGGAGUACAAACAGUAGGCCAGGUAGACCAACAGCAGUGAAGCACCUUAUGAACACAAUCUGUAGGGGGUUCAGUAAGGGACUUGAUAUUAUGUAUUUUCCGAGCACAGACAGCAUUUGAAAACGGCACGGAAGGUUCAAUUCCUACAGACCAUGGUAGAAGGGAGGGUGUUCCUGCCCAAAGAAACCGCAUGUACAUGUCCAUCCCACUGCCUUUCCAGGCUCUCAUGCAGUAUUCCUAGACAAAUCCAGAACUGAUUCCUUGCCCCUGAACCUCUACUGUACUUUUAUAUCAAAGUUUAAAAGGAUUCCUGUUCAUCUUGCUGUUUCACAAGUCACUCUUGUAGUCCCAACUCGAUUUUAAGAUUUUUUUUUUUUUUUUUUUGAGACAGGGUCUUGCUCUGUCGCCCAAGCUGGAGUGCAGUGGCACAAUCUCGGCUCAACUGCAGCCUCUGCCUCCUGGGUUCCAGCGAUUCUCCUGCCUCAGCCUCCCGGGUAGCUGGUAUUACAGGCACACGCCCGCACGCCCAGCUAAUUUUUUUGUAUUUUUAGUAAAGAUGGGGUUUCACUAUGUUGGCCAGGCUGGUCUCGAACUCCUGACCUCAGGUGAUCCGCCCACCUUGGCCUCCCAAAGUGCUGGGAUUACAGGCGUGAGCCAUGGAGCCCGGCCUGAUUUUAAGCUCUUUAAAGCCAAGAAUGCGGUCAUGCUUCCAUUCUCUCCAAAACGUGAUGGGGAUCUGAUGACAGCUUUUGCCCAAACUGUGGAAAUAGUUCUGAGUUUCCAAAGUAAGCUUCAUAUCUUUCACUAUGUUUUGAUCACUAAGACUUAACCUAAAGAAGUCAAUGAGUGACAGCAGCUUUCUCCCCAUCCAGAUAUUUGCUAUACAGGGAUGGUCUUUCCCUUCUGGUCCAGAGUCCCAGUCUGGUUUAACAAGAUCAGAAUGUGUAGGGGAACGCAUUCUCAUACAUUGCUAUGAGAGUAUAGUUAAGCACAAUUUCUAUGGACGAAGAUAUCAAAACUCAAAAUGAUCUGCUCCUUGAUCCAGCAUCCCAUAACUCUAGCAGCCCAUUUGCAACACAGUAAAACAAAGAACAUUUUCUUCAAUCGGGCACUGAUUAAAUCACAGUGGAUCUCUGAGACAUAGUAACUAGAAAAGCAAGGUACAGAACAGUAUGCAUAGUGUCCUGUCCAUGCCCAAAAUAUUUCUGGAAGAGCGCACAAGGAAAUGGUGAUAGUGAUGGCCUCAGGGAAGGGGAAAAGGGUGGCUGGGGAACAGGGGUGGGAGACUAGCUUUUUACUGUUAAGUUUUGAACCAUGUGCAUGUAUAAUUUUUUUAAAGAAUUAUGCAACAAAUAACUUCUUUAAAAGUCUUCAGCCCCAGUACGGUCGCUCAGGCCUGUAAUCCCAGCACUUUGGGCGGCUGAGGCAGGAGGAUCGCUUGAGGCCAGGAGUUUGAGACCAGGCCAGCCUGGGCAACAUAGCAAGACUCCAUCUCUACAAAAAAAAACAAACAAAAAAAAUGUUAAAGAGCCAGGCGUGGUGGCACAUGCCUAUAGUCCUAGCUAUUCGGGAAGUGAGCCAGGAUGGCUUCAGCCCAGGAGUUAAGACUGCGGCAGGGUAUGCACCACUGCACCCAGCCUGGGUAACACAGUGAGACCCCCAUCUCCUAAAACAAAAUUAAAAAAAAAAAAAAUUAAGGCCAGGCAUGGUGGCUAACACCCGUAAUCCCAGCAUUUUGGGAGGUUGAGAUGGGUGGAUCACUUGAGGCCAGCAGUUUGAGAUCAGCCUGGGCAACAUGGUUAAAAGCCCGUUUCUACUAAAAAUACAAAAAUUAGCCGGGCGUCAUAGCAUACACCUGUAAUCCCAGCUACUUGGGAGGCUGAGGCAGAAGAACUGCUUGAACCUGGGAGGCGGAGGUUGCAGUGGGCCAAGAUGGCUCCACUGUACUCCAGCCUGGGAAACAAAGUGAUACUCCAUCGCAAAAAAAAAAAAAAAAAAAAAAAAAAAAUUAAAAAUCUACAGAGGAGGAAAACAAACAAAAAUAGCAAAAAUGGGACAUCAAUCCAGACAUGAAGGAAAAAAACAUUUUUUAAAUAUUCAUCAUUGUGGCAAAAAAAACCUGCCCUUAAAAAACCAGAAACCUAAGGUUUAAAGAGAUGAGUGACCCCUCAAUUGUUCCUCUGAGAAUAGACUGUGUCUUUCACCUGCUUUUUAAGUCCUCUUCCCAAGGUCUGGCCCGAUGUUUGGUCUCAAUGGUUGUGUAAUGUCUCUGAAUGGAUGAAAUUUACUUCCCUACGGAAAAGUAAAGCAUUCUCCAAAUGCAAGCAGUUGUGAAACAGUGAUAAAGGUCGAGGGGGAAGCAGCAUGGCUGAGAGCUGCUUUUGCCUAAUGUAUUCAUUCACCUGCAUGAACCAAGCACCCACGUGCAUGGAUGUGUACUAUAUACAGACUGUGAGAUGUGGACCUGCCUCACAGUGUACCAGGAGAGAUGAGAGCAUACACAAAGAAUCACUGGGUAGAAAAUCUACAUGAGUUUUAAAAUAGGGAAUUUCUGAAGCAGCUUACUACUAACAGCUAAAAACCACUGGCUUGACCACAUAUACAAAGGCUGCAAUCUCAGAGGGAUAUUUCAUGUAUUUAGUAAAACCUGGGGAAACGAGGAAGGCAGGGAAGUUGAUAAGGACUUGUAGGCACACUUUGGCCCCAGGGAGGCAGGUGGAUGCUGGUGGAGAGCAUCACCUAAAUUAGCUGCCUCCUUUCUUGGCAAUCCUGUUAUCUACACCAUAUGAAUCCAGUCUUUAGCUGGAUAUAACCAUUCGUUCACUCAUUCAUUCAACAAGUAUUUACUGAACAGCCUAGUCUGUGCAGGCCUAUGUUAACUGUCUCCAGCACACUCAAUCCAUGACAUUAAAGUUACAGUUUUGGUCUUUGUGUAUCAGCAAUGACAGGUCCUCACUCUUACCACAAAGCGCAAGUCAGCUUGGCCUCUCAAGUGGAGAGAUAAUCGUUCUAUAGCAAGAAGUACAAAGAUUCUCUGCAGACAAAACCAGCUAGCCAAGGUUUCUUCAUGUUAUUUACAAUUCAAAGUAAAUUUACUUUAUAAGCAGCUAGG